GUAGGUAUAGCUCAAAUGACAGAGUGCAUGCUUAGUAUGCAUGAGGUCCUAGGUUCAAUCCUGGUACCUCCU
rnacentral:tRNA from 1 species